GACGUAGGGCGCGAGCGUUGUCCGGAUUUAUUGGGCGUAAAGAGCUCGUAGGUGGUUUGUCGCGUUGUUCGUGAAAACUCACAGCUCAACUGUGGGCGUGCGGGCGAUAACGGGCAGACGUGGAGUACUGCAGGGGAGACUGGAAUUCCUGGUGUAGCGGUGAAAUGCGCAGAUAUCAGGAGGAACACCAAUGGCGAAGGCAGCUCGCUGGGACGGUACUGACGCUGAGGCGCGAAAGCGUGGGGAGCAAACAGG
rnacentral:rRNA from 1 species